UGGGGAAUUUUGCACAAUGGGGGAAACCCUGAUGCAGCGACGCCGCGUGAUUUAGAAGGCCUUCGGGUUGUAAAAAUCUUUUUUACGGGAUGAAAAUGACAGUACCGUAAGAAUAAGGUCCGGCUAAAUACGUGCCAGCAGCCGCGGUAAUACGUAUGGACCGAGCGUUGUCCGGAAUCAUUGGGCGUAAAGGGUACGUAGGCGGCCUAGUAAGUUAGAAGUGAAACAAUAUAGCUCAACUAUAUAAAGCUUUUAAAACUGCUAGGCUUGAGAGAUGGAAGGGAAAGUGGAAUUCCUAGUGUAGCGGUGAAAUGCGCAGAUAUUAGGAAGAAUACCGGUGGCGAAGGCGACUUUCUGGUCAUCAUCUGACGCUGAGGUACGAAAGCGUGGGUAGCAAACAGG
rnacentral:rRNA from 1 species